CAUUGAGGGCUAGGCUUUUAUGUAACUACUGUUUGUGGUAAUUGUUUUUCUAAAAUCCUACCUGUUAAUAGCACUGAUUGCCCCGCAAAAUAUCACUACACGUCAGAAUUGACAUCAGUGCAACUUGAAACCGGAUGUUUUUUGAAAAGAACUACCAAAACCAGUAGUUAUGUAAAACCUAUUCCUCAAUGUU